rnacentral:pre_miRNA from 1 species
GUGCUUGGCAAAAUGCUUGAGUCCUGUUGUUUUCAAGUUUGAAUUUAUCUCAUUCAAAGGUAACACAAUUGUUGUGGUUGAAAUGCACAUUCCAACUGCAACAAUUGUCUUACUCUGGAUGGGGCAAUUCAAACUUGCCAAUCAGCAGGACCCCAAUAUUCGAUCAGCAUCUU